GCUGAUAUAGCUCAGGCGGUAGAGCGCAUCCUUGGUAAGGAUGAGGUCGGCAGUUCGAGUCUGCCUAUCAGCACCA
rnacentral:tRNA from 3 species